CUUUGGUGAGUUUUCUGAGUAUCAUGUCAUCUGCACAUAGUUAAAGUUUGACUUCUUCCUUGCUUAUUUCAAUGCCUUUUAUCCUUUUGUGGUGAGGAUUCCAUUACUGUGUUGAAUAAGAUGGUAAGAAUGGUAAGAGUGGAUAUCCCUGUCUUAUUCCUGACUGUAGAGGAAAAGCUUUCAGGUUUUCCCCUUUUAGGUUGAUAUUAGCUAUGGUUUUA